UGCAUAUUCUUUUCCGCAUUCUUCCUCAUGGCCAAAAGCAAAUAUUUAUUCCCUGCAUAUUUUUCCUUUUCUUUCAGACUCCAGUUUUGAAACCUGUAGAUUCCCCCAGCCAAACAAUGCUUGUCCGGCAUGAAUUAGGUCGGUUUGUUUCCCUCUGGUUUCUCGAGGCUGCUUCUGAAAAUCAGACAAGUUGCAGCGUAGCGGGGGGAGAAGGGGGAAGGGAAGGCAUCUCUAUGGGGCAGCGCUGUUUUACAUACGGGUUAGACACGGCUGGAGGCCAAGGUCAAGUUGAAAGUUGCAGUCUAGCCAAUGUGAGAACUGUCAUUCACAGCACGAAGAUCUGUCUGAUUUGUUAAAAAAACCGGGUAGAAAGCCAUGAGAGCACUAAUCUCCUCA
rfam:Apaloderma vittatum contig23658, whole genome shotgun sequence.